CAUCAAAGGUCCUUUAGCAACUAGGAUCCAGUGUCUGCCACCGUCCGCUAGAGCUCGGAUACGUGAACGGACGACGCUGCUGCAGCACUUGCUUCACGCCGAGGAUGAAAAUCUGCUGUCACUGACUGGUUCUGGAUUGACACCUAUCCUCUCCACUCAGCCAUGCAGAGCGAUGUCAAUACUACUGAGGAGCUGGAAUUUCGCAUUCCACACAAGCGGCGGAAAGCCAGCAACUUGAUGUCAGACACUACAAUGGGCAUACAAGGUGAAGAAUAUGACGAUGUCAACAAUUCUGAGUAUGAUUAUGAAGCAGAAUAUGAAAACGCAAGCAUCAUUUCAGAUGUCUCUUACUCUGGAGAACAGCUGCCAACGCUCACAGAAGUUCUCAGCUAUUGCCAGGCAAUGUACGAAAUGGUCCUCAGACUGGAUAAGAAGAUGGAUUUACUCCAGAGGAAGGUAUCUGAGAUGUACCAUGUCCGGAUGAAGCCACAUUUCAAGUCUAGACAAGUUAGCUUACACCCUAGAGGUGCUCAGCCCCUACCCCAUGGUCAUAUUAGGUUUCAGAAACUAAACCAAAGAAUCCCAAGCUCACUGAUCCUACAGCGUCCAAGAAACACCCCAAGCCAUCCACGGAAGCCUGAUGAGCAGAGAAGACUGUGCCAUCAGAGCACCACAGGUCCUUCACUAUCUCCUCCAAUAGAACGUGAACAGGCUUUUUACAGAUCAAGUCCUCCUCUGCCCACCAUUGUAUCUACCCAUUCUUUGCAGUCACUCAUCACUGUAUCAGAUGAAGAGAACAGAGAAGUAAAAAUUGAAACCUUGCCUGAGAGCACUUGUUCUCCUCCACCAGUCAUCACUGCACCUCUUGCAACUUCAUCAAUGGGUCAUAAAACGACAGGGGCAACUAUUGCAGAGAUUGAGCCAUUGUUAGUGCCAUGCAUCCCUGUGCAACAAAAUAUUACCAGUGAAGAACUACCUUCAUCCUCUGUUCAGCUGGUUCCAGUAUAUGAGUUUCUUGGAGAUCCAAGUAGGAAUAUCAAAGUCCCAGGCAGCGUCUUGAUGAAAGCAAAACAGAAAACACAGGCAAAGUAUGCAGCCCGUUACUUGGUUCGUGCCUUGUUCAGUAAAGAGGCGUUGAGCAGCGCUAGGGGAAAAAGCGUCCAAGGAUUGAUGGCACUUGAUGCCAACAAGGUUGUUGCAAUAAGAGAAUUUCUAGCAUCUGAAUUCCCUGAAUGUGAUGUUGGCGAAGAUGGAAAAGACUGGAAAACCUGUGUCACAAAUGUUAAUGCCAUGAUUCGAUGUUUGCAUUUAGAAGCAAAGAAAAGUACAGUCAAUGUCUAUCCUAAAGCUACACCACAAGUUCCUGAUGACUCCAUUUGCUUGGAUUCUGAUGAUGCGACGGAAGAGGACAAUGCGGUGGAAGUCCCAGAUGAUGUCCACACUGUACCUCCUGAUACUCUAAAGAAACAGAAGGAUAACAGGUCACCUUCAGCUCAGAAAAUGAGAUUGUCUGGAAAACAGAAAGCCUCAGACCCUAUAGAACAUUUUGGUGAAACCUGGAGAAACGUGCUGUUACCAUUCUCAGUCAUAUAUAUUGGCAAAGGAAAGUCUCGUCCAGAACUCUCUGCGAGGUAUUUGAUUAGGCAUCUCUUCCCGGAAGAAAUUCUUGUGAAGAGCAAUGUUUAUGGAAAUGUGGAACGUGGUGUUCUUCCAUUAGACUCCAACAGAAUUGCUGCUUUAAGAGGUAUGAGAAUUGCUCUUUGUUCUUAACCCCUUCCCGACAUCCUCUGUACAUGUAUGGCAGAUGACUGGUAUUUAAAGAUGGCUCCCAAGCGCUAUAGCUAUAGCAGAUAAUGUCUGCGAUCGGCGGUAAUGCAGUUCACAUACGUUUAACCCAUCAGAUUCCAUGGCUCCUUGUAAGUAAGGAGCCAGAGCCUGUACAUACCUGUGUGUGUAGUAACCCCUUUAAAAAGCAAGUAUGGAAAAUUAGUAUAGUAAUUUAGUGUUAUUUUUGUUGUCCUGUUCAUCUGCAAAGAUGCACAUACACAUUAGAUGAGUCGUCUGAAUCUGCCGAUAUCAGCAGGACUGACUAUUGUGUAUGGUGGUGACCCGACUUUUCCCUGAUGGCAGAUGUCAGAGGGAAGAAAAAUUGUGCGUGUUGAAUUGCAGCAUGCAGAGGAUAAGCCACUGCUACGUGCCUGAAGCACUUCCUACAGCAGAAUUACCCAGCGUUUGAUCUGAAGGAAAAUGGUCAAGACUGGAAAGCGUGUGUGGCUGCGAUCAAUAGUACCAUCCGAAGCCUUCGUC